UACGUAGGAGGCAAGCGUUGUUCGGAAUUACUGGGCGUAAAGCGCACGUAGGCGGCUUUGUAAGUUAGAGGUGAAAGCCCGGGGCUCAACUCCGGAAUUGCCUUUAAGACUGCAUCGCUAGAAUUGUGGAGAGGUAAGUGGAAUUCCGAGUGUAGAGGUGAAAUUCGUAGAUAUUCGGAAGAACACCAGUGGCGAAGGCGACUUACUGGACACAUAUUGACGCUGAGGUGCGAAAGCGUGGGGAGCAAACAGG
rnacentral:rRNA from 1 species